GCUAGAAGCUGAAAUGAGGUCACGCUAAAUCAACCAAUAAGCACGUUUGAUUUCAUCUGCCCCGUAUCAAUAAAUAAUACACGAUACGAGAUAUGAAACAUGGCCAGUAGUCAAAGUGCAGGCAGCCAGUUGAAUGGUGAAUUUACGCUACUGUGUUAAACUCAUUUAUUUGUGAAUGUGACUUUGAAAGAGUCAGUGCCUCCCAGCCGGACCUCACCGCACGUCACGGCAGCCAUUGUGUUGUGAAUGAAGAAACGUAGACGGAUAAUUGCGUCGAGUUACGGAAGCAGUAAAGUUCGCUGAGCUGGGAACUGCGGUCGUGACCGGCCAGCCGGCAGCGGCACGUGCCCAACGUCAGCGGACAUUUCCUAGUUGGUGGAAGACGGAACUGAACGAUCUCGAAGGAAGAACCACCUGAAAGGCCCUGUACUUCUGCUCAAGGGGAAACAAAAUAAUAAAGUACCGUUUUCAACCCGAUGAACUGACAACUAGAGGUGGAAAUGAUUCCACCACACAAAUAGGCUAACCACUUUGAUGCUAUUUCACUGAGUGAAUUGUGUAGAAUCAACGAAAGCAAAUGUAUGACCGGUCACUGGUCUACAGUGAUUUCAGCUGCUCUUCCUUACAAGAUAAGACACCCAAGACAGAAACCUCUUAACAUGAUGAAUAUUCUUCAACUGCACAUAAGCAUCCUCCCCUAUCAAGUGAGGGUAUAUAUAUACAUCGUGAGCAGCGUUACACUGAUCUACUGUACACCGUGCAAACACAACACAGAACAUUAUGAGCUCUUACCUCUUCAUGCAGAAGAGUGCAUCCGUUCACAUCGUGCAUUCGGGCAGGCUUCAACUAACCAAUGUAGUGACACACAGGAAAUACAUUUAUUCACAACAACAAUGACCAUUCAAAAUGGAAUAUAAGCAUAUUGAGAGCACCCUCGUCUUUGCAGCCCACUUUUGAUGAAUAAUUCAAGUAGCACUUGAAGGUAAUAGUGUAUUGUUAUAUGAAAAAAAUAAAAGAACUUCCCUGUUAUCUUAAAGUGAUGGAGGAAUUUGCUGACCCUCCACGAUAACAUAUGCAUGCUGCUCUAGUUGCUGCUAUAUGGUUUUCCUCCUGUUAGUAUCUGCACCAGGGAACACAAUGGAUUCUAAUUAAACGAGAUACACAAUUUUCAGAAACAUGUACUUUUUGUAUUUUGUAUUUAUUUUUAUUUUUUUACAUCUUCUGUAGCCUGUCCCUGGCCAGUCUGACGGAACAAGCUGACAUCUGGUCCCUGAAAUCCUCUUAUAUACCCCCUACACACGUACAUUGCUCUCAAUGGUGGGUCCAUGGUGUCUGUGAUAUUUUGAUUAGGCAAUUAACUUUAAUUUAUGUCCGUUGAUUAUCCCAAAGCAGCUUAGCCCAGCAAGGGUCAAGGAACCAACUUAAACUCUAAGCAUCUAGCAAGACAAGAGCAUGAAGGUCAAGGGGCACUAAAACCCAUCUGACCACGACCAUGUGUGAGUCUGUGUGUGUGUGUGUAGACACUGUCUCUCUCUUUCUUUAUAUUACAUUACAUAUUUCAAUUAUUCAUAAAACAAACUGUAGAAUUCCCGGUAAUGGAAAAACCUAAGGAUUUAAUCAAUGUUUGGAUAAAAAGGCUCACUAUACAAUUGUGAAAUUGUUAUUCAAGGAAUAAUAACUCUGCUCCACCUGCUUUGAACAACUUGAUUGGUUGAUGCCGGUAUUCUCGGUGCAAAGGCUUAAAAAAAUUAUUCAUGACAAAAACAACAGUGUGAAGAACUUAAUCACAUACAAAAGUUGUGUAAAGGCCUUUCAUCUUUGUAUUUCUGUAGAAGUUUCUAAUAAACUAAUCUAGUAUGCAUUAAAAUGCUUCUGCACUUUCAG